UGUUAAAAAUUUCAUCCAUUUUUGCUGUUAAAAUUUGACUUGACUGAUAGAAUAACCAGUCAAUUACACGUGACGUGCCACGUAUACCUCAUUUAGACAUACAUGGAUUAGUUUUUAACACUAGAAAUGGAUGGAAUUUUUAACA
rfam:Gossypium hirsutum cultivar TM-1 chromosome 10, whole genome shotgun sequence